AGUACAGAUUCAAAUGCAUCUGUUUUCAUAAAAUAUGAUUUAUACAGAUCAAAGUAAGAGAGAAGAAGCAACAUUCAAAACAUUACUUCUUUGCUGGUAUGCAUAAUAACCAUGAGUUUGGACUUAAAUGGCCCAGAAACAAAUAAUCCUCUCAGAAGCAGAGAUAGAAAGGUUUCUUCCAACCUUCCUCCCUCAGCUCUCCAUGGCUCACCAAAAGCUGCAAGGGAAUUGAGGUCUACUUACCAGCAAAGGACAGCUGGGCUAAGAGGGUCUGGGCUAAGAUGAAACCUGAUGGAUCAGCUUGUAUCUAUGCAAUCUGGAUGACUAUGAGCUCCACAGAU